UCUUAUGGAUGAGCAGAGGAAGUCGUUUCUUGAGACGGAAACUACUUCUGGUGAAGUUGUUGUGAA
rnacentral:pre_miRNA from 1 species